rnacentral:rRNA from 1 species
CCUACGGGAGGCAGCAGUGAGGAAUAUUGGUCAAUGGGCGCGAGCCUGAACCAGCCAAGUCGCGUGAGUGAUGACGGUCCUACGGAUUGUAAACUUCUUUUGCCGGGGAGCAAGCGUGCGUUCGUGAACGCGCGUCGCGAGUACCCGGAGAAAAAGCAUCGGCUAACUCCGUGCCAGCAGCCGCGGUAAUACGGAGGCUGCGAGCGUUAUCCGGAUUUAUUGGGGUUAAAGGGUGCGUAGGCGGGAUGCCACGUCAGCGGUAAAAAUGCGGUGCUCAACGCGGACGAGCCGUUGAUACUGGCGUUCUUGAGUGGGGGAGAGGUAUGUGGAAUGGGUGGUGUAGCGGUGAAAUGCAUAGAUAUCAGGAAGAACUCCGAUUGCGAAGGCAGCAUACCGGCGCCCUACUGACGCUGAGGCACGAAAGCGUGGGUAUCGAACAGGAUUAGAUACCCCGGUAGUC